CGCGGCGUGGUUGGAAUGUAGACACGGCGGGCUCAAACCCCGCUGGGCGUCAUUGCCCGUGCCGGUGCGACUCCGGCCGCCGCGACCA
rnacentral:tRNA from 1 species